rnacentral:lncRNA from 1 species
GCACAGUGUUUUCCGAGAAGGGCUGAGCAGGCUCUGCUCUUGGAACAGGGUCUUUUUCUUUCUGGAGCUUCAUUUCCAGGCUUAGGAAAGUGUUUCUGGUAUGAGGGAGCUUAACAGCUUCAGGCCACGUAGCUUCCAAAGGCACCCUUGGCCCGUGAGAUACCAGAGUGCUUGUAAGAGCGUGAAGGUGCCCAAGGGGGCUCACGGCUGAUACGGGACCAUGGAGCCCUUUCCCUGCAUCUGCUUCCAACCCUUCAGCCCCGUGCUGACACUGUUCCACCAGACAACGUCUAACACCAUCCAGGAUCCUUCAAUGCUCUCUUUUAUGCCAAAAACUGGCCUCUUGUUCUAGUUCCAGAACCCUGGGGAGCCUCUGUUGGCUGUAUGACGUUUUGAUCUCUUCCAGGUGGAAUAUUCCAUGAUAGCCAAGAUACUCACUUAAGGACUUGAAAAACAAGUGACCAACUUCAAAAGUUAGAGCAAAGAAAAUCACAUUUGCAGCAGUGGUGGGUGAGAAGAGUGCUACAUGAAUGUGGCCCAGGGGUCUGUGUUAGGUACCUGGACACACAUGUAGAAAUGCAUUCUCAAACCCCGUAUUUCAUCCCCUUACAUGACAGGCCCAGGAAGCAAGAAUGAACACACUUAACAAUGCUGGUGUUGCAGGCUGAAUCGUGUUUCCCACAGGAUACAUGCUGAUGUCCUAAUCCCGGCCCCUGCGGAUGUGGCCCUAUUUGGAAAUACAGUCUUUGCCGAUGUCAUCAGUUAGAAUGAAGUCAUAAUGGAUAAGGGUGGGCCCUAGGUCCAAAGGCUGGAUUUCAUAAGGAGAGAGACCGGAGACGCCCAGUUGAACACAGAGAAGAGGCCACAUGAUGAUGGAGGCAGGGACUGGAGUAGCGCAGCCAAAACUCAUGGAUGCCAAGAACUGCCAGCAGAUGCUCGAAGAGGCAAAAGAUGAUCCCUCCCUAGAGGCUUCAGAGGGCGCGUGGCCCUGCUGACACCUUGACUCCUGGUCUCCAGAACUUCGCAGGGAUGCAUUUUUGUUGUGGUGGUAGUGUGUAUUUGUUUGUUUGUUUGUUUCUUUCUUUCUCUCUCUCUCUCUCUCCCCCCCCUCCCCUCUUUCUUUCUUUUAGGGCUGCAUCCCCGGCACACAGAAGUUCCCAGGCUAGGGGGUUUAAUCGGAGGUACAGCUGCAGGCCUAUGCCACAGCCACAGCAACUCAGGAUUUGAGCCACAUCUGCAACCUACAUUGCAGCUCAAGGCAAUGCUGGAUCCUUAACCCACUGAGUGGGGCCAGGACUGGAACCUGCAUCCUCAUGGACACUAGGUGGGUUCGUUACCUCUGAGCCACAACAGAAACUCCCAUUUUUGUUCUUUUAAGCAGCCUGUUUGUGGCACUUUGCAAGGCAGUCCCAGAGAGUGAAUAUAGCUGGCCCUCAGCCACUUUCUGGGCCCCAUGCUGCUCAAAACCCGAGCAAGAGCUGGAGCCCAGGACAGGUGGGUGGAGGGGUGGGAUCCUGACAGGUGAGAACAGGGAACACAGAGCCCAGGAUGAAGAGAAACAGACCAACGUGGUGCCUUCUGAGGCCACACAGAGCGUCAAGCCAGGGAGCCUGGGGGACACAGAGCUGGCACAAAUUAGGUGGGAGAAUGCAUGUGAAGUUCUAUGCUGAGUAGCCCACUAACACAGGACGGAGGCAUAAGCAUCGGGGAGGCGUGAGUCUUCUCAUCGUGUUGCCAACACCAUCACUAUCUCCACGAUCCCCUCCGUUACUGCUAAGUCACCGCAACGACAGUGCGGCCCCCUCUACCUGCUGAGGUGUACCUGGUCCUACAGUCCAGGGAGUGAGGGAAGACUUCUGGGAAACAAGUUAUAGGAUCUUCCUCUCCUCCUCCCUCCCUUCCACAGAUAUUUUCAGAGCACGUACUCUGUGCCAGACAUUGUGCUCGGUGCCAGGGACCCGCUGCCGUGUGAUACAGGCAAGGGCUCAUCCCCACAAAGCUUAGGGUUGGGUAGAAGACAGGUACCCAGGGAUGUCACUCCCCCGACUGGGGAGUAGGGGCGCUACUGAGCACAUCAGAGGCACAGUUAAACUAGACUGAGGGAGGCCUGGUGGGCUUCCUGGAGGAAGUGACAGCUACACUGACUAACCUUAGGGUGAAGGGGCAACAGGCAACAAGGAGAAGAUAUGCUGGCAGAGGUGUUGGCUUGAGUCCAGGCUCGGGGUGGGGGAGCAGAAGGCCAACUGGAGGAACUAAGUCUCUCUUCGCCGACCUCCCCUACCUGAUCAACUAGGGUCUCCCCUCCCCUCCAUGAAAUCACUUUGACCAACACCUGCAGCACACCCAAAGCUCAGGCUGGCAGGCUGCUCUCUAAGAUGCCCACACUGAGCUGUAUACUUGAAAAGAUCAGGUCUGGAAGCCUCUCACCUGUUUGUGCCAGUUGUAUUUGUUAGUUACACUUCUCCAUGUUUAUUAAAGAUUGCACAAACUAUUGAUACAUGAACACAAAAAAGAAAGAAAGGUUGUUUUGUAUUUAAAAAAAAAAUAGCAGUGACUGCUUUAAAAUUUUUUCAAACAAGGCAAGUCACUAAGAAAACCUGCAGUUGAAAUAGGUAAGGGUGAGACAUCUAUAGAAGAUAAGGAAAGGGGAAUUCCCUUUGUGGCUCAGUGGAUAAAAACCUGUUGUCUCUGUGAGGAUGUGGGUUCGAUCCCUGGCCUCACGCAGUGGGUUAAGGGAUACAGUGUUGCCUUAAGCUGCAGCAGGUCACAGAUUCGGCUUGGAUCCCGUGCUACUGUGGCUGUGGUGUAGGCUGGUAGCUGCAGCUCUCAUCUGACUCCUGGCCUAGGAACUUCCAUAUGCUGCAGGUACAGCAGUAAAAAGAAAAAAAAAAAAAGAGAUAAGGAAAAGAUUGUGAAAAUCCAAAAAGAUUCUGCACUUAGUUUCUUGGGUCACUUUCAAGAAUCCAACUGGACCCGGCAGCCAUGGGUGGGAAGGGUGAUGUGUGAGGUAGGUGCCACAGGUUCUGUUCAGCGAGCCCCGGGGGUAGAAAAGGACCAGGCAGCAGAAGCUGUGGAACAGGUGACGGCCAACAUGCCUUAAAUUAAAGCACAGUGUUUAACCUACAUACGUGUUUUUUCCACUGUUUACUAACCUCCUCUCUUAACCAAGCAGUUACUGUAAAUAAUUCAGCAGAUCAGGACCUGAGCUUAGGGGCCCUCAUGACUGUGGUGACAGAGGCCAAGGGAGCGUGCGAGUGGGAGGGGCUGAGGUGACAAGGUGCCACAUGCCAUGCUCCGGGGCAAUGGCUCAGUCAACAGAAGUCAAUCUUCGAACAGUUCCAGAGCCCAGGGUUUCGAGACCAGGCUUCCUCUGAGGGCAGGAUCUGUUUCUGGCACCUCUUCCAGCUUCUGGGCACUCCCUGGCCUGGGGCAGCAUGACACCAGCCCUUACAAGGCCACGAGGAGAUCUCUGCAUGUGCAUGUCUGUCUCCAAGAUUCCCCCUUUUAUCAGGACACCAGUCAGAUUAUAGAUUAGGGACCCCCCUCGCUCUGGCACAAUCUCAUCUCAUCUCAACCAAUUACACCGGUCACAACUCUAUUUCCAAAUGAGGUCAUAUUCUAAGAUUGGGGGUCAGCAUAAGAAUUUGGGGGGGGGGACCCCAUCCAGCCCAUAACAAGGAGAUAGGAGGUGUUAAAGCUGAGCCUAGUGGCACAGAGGUUAGGAAGUCCCCUCAUCUUUGCUCUCCCAGCACAGCUCAGGUAGCUGUGUCCUGAAUGUGGCCCCAGCCCUGAGCCAUCUGCAGCCCUAAUGAUGGCUUCUCCCCAGCUGCCAUGUACCACUGGGGGGGACCAAGGUCUGGUCUCCCCCCAGGCUCCUAGGGCCCUCUCACCAACCAGGGAGUUGAAAUGUAACCACCAAGAGAAAGUUCUCCCCAGCCCUUCAUCCUUUUCUUCUGUGACUCAUUUUAUUUCCUGGAAAUUGCACUGGUUAGAAAAGGGGCGACCAGCAUUCUCAGGCCAAGAGCUUUUCAGCAAUGUUCAUCUGCACACCAGAAGCACCAAGCAUGGUCGCUUAUGAUUGGAAAUAAUUUCUCUUAAAAGCCUCAUGCAGACCAAAACAAAACAAAACAAAAAAACAAAAAACAAAACAAAACCCAAAAAAGGAGCUCCCAUCCUGGUGCAGUGGAAAAGAAUCCAACUAGGAACCAUGAGGGUGCGGGUUCAAUCCCUGGCCUUGCUCAGUGGGUUAAGGAUUCGGCAUUGCCAUGAGCUGUGGGGUGGGUCGCAGACAUGGCUCAGGUCUGGCAUUGCUGUGGCUCUGACGCAAGCCAGAGGCUACAGCUCCGAUUGGACCCCUAGCCGGGCAAUCUCCAUAUGCUGUGGAUGUGGCCCUAAAAAGACAAAAGACCGGAAAAAAAAAAAAAAAAAAAAAAAAAA